GUCUACGGCCAUACCACCCUGAACGCGCCCGAUCUCGUCUGAUCUCAGAAGCUAAGCAGGGUCGGGCCUGGUUACUACUUGGAUGGGAGACCAAAUCUUUCCUUGCCAGAAUUGUUUUGGCUAUUCUCC
rnacentral:rRNA from 1 species